GGUUAAGCGACUAAGCGUACACGGUGGAUGCCCUGGCAGUCAGAGGCGAUGAAGGACGUGCUAAUCUGCGAAAAGCGUCGGUAAGGUGAUAUGAACCGUUAUAACCGGCGAUGUCCGAAUGGGGAAACCCAGUGCAAUUCGUUGCACUAUCGUUAACUGAAUACAUAGGUUAACGAGGCGAACCGGGGGGAACUGAAACAUCUAAGUACCCCGAGGAAAAGAAAUCAACCGAGAUUCCCCCAGUAGCGGCGAGCGAACGGGGAGCAGCCCAGAGUCUGAAUCAGCUUGUGUGUUAGUGGAACGGUCUGGAAAGUCCGACGGUACAGGGUGAUAGUCCCGUACACCAAAAUGCACAGGUUGUGAACUCGAAGAGUAGGGCGGGACACGUGGUAUCCUGUCUGAAUAUGGGGGGGCCAUCCUCCAAGGCUAAAUACUCCUGACUGACCGAUAGUGAACCAGUACCGUGAGGGAAAGGCGAAAAGAACCCCGGCGAGGGGAGUGAAAAAGAACCUGAAACCGUGUACGUACAAGCAGUGGGAGCACCUUCGGGUGUGACUGCGUACCUUUUGUAUAAUGGGUCAGCGACUUAUAUUCUGUAGCAAGGUUAACCGUAUAGGGGAGCCGCAGGGAAACCGAGUCUUAACUGGGCGUUAAGUUGCAGGGUAUAGACCCGAAACCCGGUGAUCUAGCCAUGGGCAGGUUGAAGGUUGGGUAACACUAACUGGAGGACCGAACCGACUAAUGUUGAAAAAUUAGCGGAUGACUUGUGGCUGGGGGUGAAAGGCCAAUCAAACCGGGAGAUAGCUGGUUCUCCCCGAAAGCUAUUUAGGUAGCGCCUCGUGAACUCAUCUUCGGGGGGAGAGCACUGUUUCGGCUAGGGGGGUCAUCCCGACUUACCAACCCGAUGCAAACUACGAAUACCGAAGAAUGUUAUCACGGGAGACACACGGCGGGUGCUAACGUCCGUCGUGAAGAGGGAAACAACCCAGACCGCCAGCUAAGGUCCCAAAGUCAUGGUUAAGUGGGAAACGAUGUGGGAAGGCACAGACAGCCAGGAUGUUGGCUUAGAAGCAGCCAUCAUUUAAAGAAAGCGUAAUAGCUCACUGGUCGAGUCGGCCUGCGCGGAAGAUGUAACGGGGCUAAACCAUGCACCGAAGCUGCGGCAGCGACACUAUGUGUUGUUGGGUAGGGGAGCGUUCUGUAAGCCUGCGAAGGUGUGCUGUGAGGCAUGCUGGAGGUAUCAGAAGUGCGAAUGCUGACAUAAGUAACGAUAAAGCGGGUGAAAAGCCCGCUCGCCGGAAGACCAAGGGUUCCUGUCCAACGUUAAUCGGGGCAGGGUGAGUCGACCCCUAAGGCGAGGCCGAAAGGCGUAGUCGAUGGGAAACAGGUUAAUAUUCCUGUACUUGGUGUUACUGCGAAGGGGGGACGGAGAAGGCUAUGUUAGCCGGGCGACGGUUGUCCCGGUUUAAGCAUGUAGGCUGAUUGUCCAGGCAAAUCCGGAUAAUCAAGGCUGAGGUGUGAUGACGAGGCACUACGGUGCUGAAGUAACAAAUGCCCUGCUUCCAGGAAAAGCCUCUAAGCAUCAGGUAACAUUAAAUCGUACCCCAAACCGACACAGGUGGUCAGGUAGAGAAUACCAAGGCGCUUGAGAGAACUCGGGUGAAGGAACUAGGCAAAAUGGUGCCGUAACUUCGGGAGAAGGCACGCUGGUGUGUAGGUGAAGUCCCUGCGGAUGGAGCUGAGACCAGUCGAAGAUACCAGCUGGCUGCAACUGUUUAUUAAAAACACAGCACUGUGCAAACACGAAAGUGGACGUAUACGGUGUGACGCCUGCCCGGUGCCGGAAGGUUAAUUGAUGGGGUUAUCCGUAAGGAGAAGCUCUUGAUCGAAGCCCCGGUAAACGGCGGCCGUAACUAUAACGGUCCUAAGGUAGCGAAAUUCCUUGUCGGGUAAGUUCCGACCUGCACGAAUGGCGUAAUGAUGGCCAGGCUGUCUCCACCCGAGACUCAGUGAAAUUGAACUCGCUGUGAAGAUGCAGUGUACCCGCGGCAAGACGGAAAGACCCCGUGAACCUUUACUAUAGCUUGACACUGAACAUUGAGCCUUGAUGUGUAGGAUAGGUGGGAGGCUUUGAAGCGUGGACGCCAGUCUGCGUGGAGCCAACCUUGAAAUACCACCCUUUAAUGUUUGAUGUUCUAACGUUGGCCCCUGACCGGGGUUGCGGACAGUGUCUGGUGGGUAGUUUGACUGGGGCGGUCUCCUCCCAAAGCGUAACGGAGGAGCACGAAGGUUAGCUAAUCCUGGUCGGACAUCAGGAGGUUAGUGCAAUGGCAUAAGCUAGCUUGACUGCGAGCGUGACGGCGCGAGCAGGUGCGAAAGCAGGUCAUAGUGAUCCGGUGGUUCUGAAUGGAAGGGCCAUCGCUCAACGGAUAAAAGGUACUCCGGGGAUAACAGGCUGAUACCGCCCAAGAGUUCAUAUCGACGGCGGUGUUUGGCACCUCGAUGUCGGCUCAUCACAUCCUGGGGCUGAAGUAGGUCCCAAGGGUAUGGCUGUUCGCCAUUUAAAGUGGUACGCGAGCUGGGUUUAGAACGUCGUGAGACAGUUCGGUCCCUAUCUGCCGUGGGCGCUGGAGAAUUGAGGGGGGCUGCUCCUAGUACGAGAGGACCGGAGUGGACGCAUCACUGGUGUUCGGGUUGUCAUGCCAAUGGCACUGCCCGGUAGCUAAAUGCGGAAGAGAUAAGUGCUGAAAGCAUCUAAGCACGAAACUUGCCCCGAGAUGAGUUCUCCCUGAGACUUUAAGUCUCCUGAAGGAACGUUGAAGACGACGACGUUGAUAGGCCGGGUGUGUAAGCGCAGCGAUGCGUUGAGCUAACCGGUACUAAUGAACCGUGAGGCUUAACCUU
rnacentral:rRNA from 1 species